rnacentral:rRNA from 1 species
ACGAAGGGGGCUAGCGUUGCUCGGAUUGACUGGGCGUAAAGGGCGCGUAGGCGGAUAGUACAGUCAGGCGUGAAAUUCCUGGGCUCAACCUGGGGGCUGCGUUUGAUACGUAUUGUCUGGAGUUCGGAAGAGGGUCGUGGAAUUCCCAGUGUAGAGGUGAAAUUCGUAGAUAUUGGGAAGAACACCGGUGGCGAAGGCGGCGACCUGGUCCGAUACUGACGCUGAGGCGCGAAAGCGUGGGGAGCAAACGGGA